GGAGGAAAGCAGGGGAUCGCAAGACCUUGCGCUCAUUGAGCGGCCGAUGCCUGAUUAGCUAGUUGGUGAGGUAAAGGCUUACCAAGGCGACGAUCAGUAGCUGGUCUGAGAGGACGACCAGCCACACUGGGACUGAGACACGGCCCAGACUCCUACGGGAGGCAGCAGUGGGGAAUUUUGGACAAUGGGGGAAACCCUGAUCCAGCCAUGCCGCGUGAGUGAAGAAGGCCUUCGGGUUGUAAAGCUCUUUCAGCCGGAACGAAACGGUCACGGCUAAUACCUGUGACUACUGACGGUACCGGAAUAAGAAGCACCGGCUAACUACGUGCCAGCAGCCGCGGUAAUACGUAGGGUGCGAGCGUUAAUCGGAAUUACUGGGCGUAAAGCGUGCGCAGGCGGUUUUGUAAGUCAGAAGAGAAAUCCCCGGGCUUAACCUGGGAACUGCGU
rnacentral:rRNA from 1 species